GUGAACGAGCGACGCCGCGUGGAGGAGGAAGGCCUUCGGGUUGUAAACUCCUGUCAGAGGUUAAGAAUUGUACGGCGUUAAUACCGCCCGUACUUGACAAAAGCCUCAGAGGAAGCUCCGGCUAAAUCCGUGCCAGCAGCCGCGGUAAUACGGAUGGAGCAAGCGUUGUUCGGAUUCACUGGGCAUAAAGCGCGUGUAGGCGGCUCUGUAAGUCAGGUGUGAAAGCCCCCGGCUCACCCGGGGAAUUGCAUUUGAUACUCCAGAGCUCGAGUGAAGGAGGGGAGAGUGGAACUCCUGGUGGAGCGGUAAAAUGCGUAGAUAUCAGGAGGAACGCCGGUGGAGAAGUCGACUCUCUGGUCUUUAACUGACGCUGAGACGCGAAAGCUAGGGGAGCAAACGGGAUUAGAUACCCCGGUAGUCCUAGCCGUAAACGAU
rnacentral:rRNA from 1 species